rnacentral:sRNA from 1 species
AUGCGCUGUUCCUAUUGUGAAGGUACACAUGCUUUAGACAAAUGUAAACGACUUACAGCUCGUCCACGUGAAGACCGAAUCGCUUACUUGAAAUCUAAGGGAUAUUGUUUUGGUUGUCUUAAAAAAGGCCAUAUGAGUAAUAAAUGCAAUAGGAGACUCAAAUGCUCAAUCUGUGCGCGACUUCAUCCAAGUAUACUUCAUAUUGACAAUCAAAUUAAAAAACAAUCAUCGUCACAGCAAGAGCCAUCUGUUAAAAAGGAUGUUCCUCAAAUACCCACAAAUCAGGAAGGCACAGAGCCAGUUGUUAAUAGCUCCACUAGUAGUGAUAAAGGGGCUGGUGAUGUGACUUGUGCUAUGGCAAUAAUCCCUGUGCGAGUUAAAUUGAACAAUAGAUCUCAGAGUGUCGAGACUUAUGCUUUCUUUGACUCAGGCAGUAGCAUAACAUUUUGUAGCCAGAAAUUAAUGCGUCAACUUGGAGCUAAUGGUAAGAAAACUCAGAUAACUAUAAAUACAAUGGGAAACACACAAACUAUUAAUACAUGUGCAAUUAAUGGCCUUCAAGUGUCUAGUCUGUCAAUGGAACACAUGGUGGAUUUGCCUAAAGUAUAUACUAAGGACAACCUGCCCGUAUCAAAGGAACAUAUUCCUACUCAACGAGAAAUCAAGAAAUGGACUCAUUUAGAAUCAGUGGAUAUCCCAGAGAUUGAUGCGGACAUAGGAAUUAUGAUAGGUAAUAAUGUACCUGAUGCUUAUUCACCGUUUAAAGUAUGCACGGGACCGAGCGGCUCCCCACAUGCCACAAAAACUAGACUUGGGUGGAUAUUAUGGAAUGUUAUAAGAGACAGUUCAAGCUUUGAAGUUAAUAGAGUUCAUAUGCAAAAUGAAGGAUGUGAUGAAACACAGUUGAACUUAUUAAUGCAGAGCAUUAACUUAGACUUCCCAGAACGAAUGACCGAAGACAAAAGAGAGAAUUCUAUUGAUGAUAAAAUAUUCAUGCAGCAAGUUGAGAGCUCUAUACAUCUAGAAAAUCAGCACUACUGCAUAGCUCUUCCAUUUCGAGACCAGGAUGUUGUUUUUCCGAAUAAUUCAGUACAAGGCAUGAAAAGGCUAAAUGGACUCCGACACAAGUUUGCCAAGAACGAUAACUUCAAACAACAAUACUGUGAUUUCAUGUCAAAGAUAAUUGAGAAAGGCUAUGCAGAACCUGUACCUACCGAAGAUGUAGAUAGAAAUGAUGGCAGAGUCUGGUACCUACCGCACCAUGGAGUUUACCAUGCGAAAAAACAGGACAAAAUACGAGUCGUUUUCGAUUGUUCUGUCAAAUACAUGGGCAUUUCUUUGAACAGCCAGCUUUUACAGGGUCCAAACCUUGCUAACAAUCUUUUAGGCGUACUGAUCAGAUUCCGACAGGAUAAAAUAGCAGUCUUAGGUGACAUCGAAUCAAUGUUUUACCAGGUGCAAGUUCCAGUCGAAGACAGAGACUUUUUACGUUUCUUCUGGUGGGAAAACGGAAAUGUUGAUACUGAACCUAAAAAAUACAGGAUGACAGUACAUUUGUUUGGGGCUACUUCUUCACCGAGUUGUAGUAAUUACGCUCUACAAAAUACGGCAAAAGAAAACAAGGAUAGAUUUGAUUCUUUAGUGAUUGAAACACUGACAAAGAACAUGUAUGUAGAUGAUUGUUUGAGUUCUACCGAUACAGAAGAAGGUGCUAUAUCGCUUAUUAAGAACGUAACUGAAUUGUGCAAAGAGGGCGGAUUCAAUAUGACUAAAUGGACAAGUAACAGUCAAAAUGUUGUUCAAUCCAUACCAGAAAAGGAUUGCGCAAGGAAUAUAGAGGAAUGGAAUUGUGGAGAUGAUAGUCUUACUGACCGUGCACUUGGAGUGUAUUGGUAUAUAAAAGAUGACAAACUUGGAUUUCACAUAAACAUUAAAGAAAAACCGUCAACAAGACGCGGAAUUCUCAGCAUAGUCAGCUCAAUCUAUGACCCUAUUGGUAUCGUUUCUCCGUUUGUAUUGACAGCCAAAUCUAUACUACAAGGAUUAUGUAAGAAAGAAAUUGGAUGGGAUGAAGAAAUUCCCAACAGAGAACUUUCGUCAUGGAACAAAUGGCUCAGUCAGCUUAAGGGAUUGGAAAACAUUAAAAUAGAUAGAUGCUACAAGCCUCAACACUUCAAGGCUAUUGUUUCAUGCCAACUACAUUGUUUUGCAGACGCAAGUGACAAAGGUUAUGGUUGUGUAUUUUACAUACGGUUAGUCGAUGAAGAAGGUAGUAUACAGUGUUCCUUUUUGUUAGGAAAAUCGAGAGUAGCACCGCUUAAAUCGAUGACUAUUCCGAGAAUGGAACUGACAGCUGCUACUAGUGCCGUUAGGCUUGGAAACAUGAUUAUAAGAGAGAUAGAAUACUCAUUUGAUGACAUUUAUUACUAUAUACAGACAGUAUGUCAGUACUUCGAUAUAUAGCAAACUCAAAGACACGUUUUCACACUUUUGUAGCCAAUCGUUUGGCUGUUAUUCAUGAAGCAACUAAAGUAAAUCAAUGGCACUACGUAGGCACAAAAGAGAACCCGGCUGAUUUAGCUUCCAGAGGAGCGACUAUUGAACAAUUUAACAGAAAUCCACAAUGGCUUCGUGGGCCAGAUUUCUUAUGGGAUAAAGACAUUAAAUUCCCACAGUGUACCGAGGACACUAGUUUUAUCGGCAAUGAUCCAGAAGUUAAGAAACCAGUGGCUGUUUGCACUGUAGAAUCAUUUGAAGGAAUGGAACGUCUUAUUUCUUACUUUUCGAAUUGGGAACGCUUAGUCACCAUAACAGCACGGUUCGUACUUGCGGCCAACCACUUUAGAAAUGCUAGAGACAGUAUUGAAAUCGAAGGAAAGCGGAAAAAUGAGUAUGAAGAUGUCAGAUACGCUUACAACAAGUAUAGUUGAGUGUGCAGAGAGAGGUCAUUGAUUAGUUAUGUGCAACAUAAACACUUAAGUGAGGAUAUACAGACUCUUGAAAAGAAGUGUCCUCUCAAGAUUUCUUCAAAACUAAGCAAACUGGAUCCAUUCGUCGACAAAGAUGGAUUGCUUAGAGUUGGUGGACGAUUGGAGCGAUCGGAUAUUUCGUACGAAUCAAAACACCCUAUCAUCUUGCCUAAGGACUCACCGAUAUCAAGACUUAUUAUUGAGAACAUUCAUCGUUCAAUUGGACAUUUAGGAAAGAAUUCAAUCUUAGCCGUUCUUAGACAAAAAUACUGGAUAUUAGGAGCUAAUUCUAUUAUUAAAGGCUUAGUGUCUAGAUGCGUCAGAUGUAAGAAAUAUCAAGGAACAUGCGCAAAACAGAAAAUGGCAAAUCUUCCGAAAGAAAGACUUCAGGCUGAUGAUCCGCCUUUCACAAGAAUUGGAAUAGAUUUCUUUGGACCCUUUGAGGUAAAGCAAGGAAGGAGUGUAGUUAAAAGAUAUGGUGUGAUUUUUCACAUGCCUGACUAUUAGGGCAAUACACCUCGAAUUGGCAUAUUCAUUAGACACUGACUCUUGCAUAAAUGCUAUAAGGAGAUUUAUUUCGAGAAGAGGAGUGCCAGUCUUUAUAAGGACAGACAAUGGAACAAACUUUGUUGGUUCAGAAAGGGAACUAGGAGAAGAAAUAAAAAGAUGGAACUUUAAUCAAAUACAGGAAUUCAUGAUUCAGAAACGCAUUCAGUGGGAGUUUAAUCCGCCGUCUGCGUCACACUUUGGAGGAGUAUGGGAACGCCUUAUUAGAUCAGUGCGUAAGGUAUUCUAUUCAGUCAUGCAUGAACAGAACAUUCGCCUAACUGAUGAAGGACUUAUGACUCUAUUCUGUGAAGUAGAAAGUAUUCUUAAUGGACGUCCGAUCACAGAAGCGUCAGAUAGUAUUACAGACUUAAAUGUAUUGACUCCGAAUCACUUGAUACUUCAACGUCCGGGUGAAAGCUUUCCACCUGGUGUGUUCUCUAAGACCGACAGCUAUGUUAGAAGGCGAUGGAGACAAAUUCAGUAUCUCGCUGAUCUAUUUUGGACUAGAUGGCGAAAGGAAUACUUACCUCUAUUGCAGCGCAGAACAAAAUGGACAAAACCGACAAGAAAUAUGCAAGUAGGAGACAUAGUUCUCAUUUCCGACAAUGCACCGAGAAAUUCGUGGAACAUGGCUCGUGUGAUUGAACUAAUCAAAGACAAGGACAAUGUUGUUAGAAUUGUCAAAGUGAAAACCGCAAAUUCUGUGUUAAUGAGACCAAUUGCGAAACUGUGUCUUCUUGUAGAAAGUGACUAA